GUUAAUAUAGUCUAACCAAGACAUUAGAUUGUGAUUCUAAUAAUAGAAGUUAAACUCUUCUUAUUGACC